AUGACGAGAAGAGUUCCAGCCCCUCCUGCCCUUCCAUCCCAUGGCAGCCAAUGCUUGUCCCCAGUGUGCCUUUACACAUUUUUUUAUUUACUAAUUAUUUUAUUUUAUUUUAUUGGUCUGCAUAGUAUUUUCCAGAGUUAUAAUCUUCAAACAACAACUAUAAAGAAGCUGGUCUGGCCUUUCCCUGACUGGGGACCACAUCUCAGGUACAGUAACUUGUCCCCGUUUCCUGGCAUUAAUGGAACAUCUAAAACACAACAGUGGAGCAGAUGAUGCAGCUGAAAAUCUGCUACGCUACACAUGUUGGGGCAAGCUUGGCAUUAACAACUUCCCAUGUACUGGUUCUCUGGUUCAGAAGUGGCAGAUUUCUUCACUUGUCAGUCUUUCCUAACGUGAGCUUUUUGCAACCCCACAAUAUCCACCUCCUUGUCACCCACACAAUUCCUCUCAUUCUCCAUGCAAAGUGCAGUUUCUAGGCCUUUGUUUUCAACCUUUGUUUUUUGUUCUCCUUCAGUUCUAGGUCCAUACAAGAGCUCUGGAAAUGCAAGUUAAACAGGUGAAGGCUGAGAUGAAAUUAGAUGUGAUAUGACACUUCUUUAAUGAGCUCUUUUGGUGAUAGGCAGACAAUUUGACUGGAUGUUCUUGUAGGUCUUUUCCAACCUUGGUGAUUCAGUGAUUCUUCAGUUCUAUAAAACCAUGUUUUGAUGCAGCUCCUGUGGAGAACGCACCUCCUGGCAGUCUUGUACUAGUCUGGAAGCACAGGAGUGCCAACUUUGUCCCCACUGAAGAUGCAGUAAUGAUACUGUGUAAUGCCUUGCAUUUUUAAGGGUUUCUAAUGAUACAAGAGACCUUACAUCCCUUUUUCUCUACAAAGGAACAUUGCAGAAAAUAAGCUGCUUUCUGUUCUUUAAAAGAUGAAGGCAGAUGAGCUCCUGCUUCCUGGGAGUGGCACCAGAAGAUAACUGGUGGCUGAUCAAGAAAUCUUUCCAUGUUGUUUUUUCUCAUGGCAGAGUUUUCUGCAUCCUUCUGGAAUGUGUGUAGGCCUGGGUUCUGAGCAUAGAACCCAGAACUCCCCAGCUGUAGAAGCUCCUGUUUAGUUAAAAUGAUGUCUGUGGACUUGUCCACAAUCUAAUAAAGGCUGAAAUGGUUACUGUACCA
ensembl:lncRNA